AUUGAACGCUGGCGGCAUGCCUAACACAUGCAAGUCGAACGGCAGCACGGCAGUAGCAAUACUGUGGGUGGCGAGUGGCGGACGGGUGAGGAAUACGUCGGAAUCUGCCCAGUCGUGGGGGAUAACUAGCCGAAAGGUUAGCUAAUACCGCAUACGACCGAGAGGUGAAAGCGGGGGACCGCAAGGCCUCGCGCGAUUGGAUGAGCCGACGUCGGAUUAGCUAGUUGGUGGGGUAAAGGCCCACCAAGGCGACGAUCCGUAGCUGGUCUGAGAGGAUGAUCAGCCACACUGGAACUGAGACACGGUCCAGACUCCUACGGGAGGCAGCAGUGGGGAAUAUUGGACAAUGGGCGCAAGCCUGAUCCAGCAAUGCCGCGUGUGUGAGAAGGCCUCGGUUGUAAGACGACUUUAUUCUAGACGAAAG
rnacentral:rRNA from 1 species